rnacentral:ncRNA from 2 species
GCCACACACUCUGAAGAGCGCCCCCGGUUCGUCACCGGGGUCCACCGCAGGAGCAAGCCGAACAGGGUUCGGUGAAUCUCUCAGGUUUCAAACAGAGGGGGUCAU